GUUUUAAUAGUUUAAAUAAAACUUCGGUCUUGUAAACCGAAAUUGAAAAAUAUUUUCUUAAAACA
rnacentral:tRNA from 1 species